AGUCACACGAGGGAAGAAAAUAUCACAACUAUGGACAAACAAGGGGCGUCAAUAUCAUAGGUCCAAACUCCAAACUGCAACAUAAAGCUGCAAAAUUACACAAGAACAGAAGUGCAGUGACCACAAUAUGGCACCAAUUCUUGGAUCAAACCACACAAACGCAAAGACUGAGCCUUGUAGCUAAGGAUCCGAGGAGGCGAAGUGUGCCGGUGAGGCUGCACACGGUUCACUGAGCGGAGGAAGAGGAAGAAGUGUGCGUCAGGGAUGUAGGACAUCG
rnacentral:lncRNA from 1 species